rnacentral:rRNA from 1 species
AUUGAACGCUGGCGGCAGGCUUAACACAUGCAAGUCGAGCGGGGUGAUGGUGCUUGCACUAUCACUUAGCGGCGGACGGGUGAGUAAUGCUUAGGAAUCUGCCCAUUAGUGGGGGACAACAUCUCGAAAGGGAUGCUAAUACCGCAUACGUCCUACGGGAGAAAGCAGGGGAUCACUUGUGACCUUGCGCUAAUAGGUGAGCCUAAGUCGGAUUAGCUAGUUGGUGGGGUAAAGGCCUACCAAGGCGACGAUCUGUAGCGGGUCUGAGAGGAUGAUCCGCCAAACUGGGUCUGAGCAACGGCCCAGACUCCUACGGGAGGUAGCAGUGGGGAAUAUUGGACAAUGGGGGGAACCCUGAUCCAGCCAUGCCGCGUGUGUGAAGAAGGCCUUAUGGUUGUAAAGCACUUUAAGCGAGGAGGAGGCUUACCUAGUUAAUACCUGGGAUAAGUGGACGUUACUCGUAGAAUAAGCACCGGCUAACUCUGUGCCAGCCGCCGCCGUAA